UUUUAUUUGAGAGUUUGAUCCUGGCUCAGGAUGAACGCUGGCGGCGUGCCUAACACAUGCAAGUUGAGCGAUUUACUUCGGUAAAGAGCGGCGGACGGGUGAGUAACGCGUGGGUAACCUACCCUGUACACACGGAUAACAUACCGAAAGGUAUGCUAAUACGGGAUAAUAUAUUUGAGAGGCAUCUCUUAAAUAUCAAAGGUGAGCCAGUACAGGAUGGACCCGCGUCUGAUUAGCUAGUUGGUAAGGUAACGGCUUACCAAGGCGACGAUCAGUAGCCGACCUGAGAGGGUGAUCGGCCACAUUGGAACUGAGACACGGUCCAAACUCCUACGGGAGGCAGCAGUGGGGAAUAUUGCACAAUGGGCGAAAGCCUGAUGCAGCAACGCCGCGUGAGUGAUGAAGGCCGUCGGGUCGUAAAACUCUGUCCUCAAGGAAGAUAAUGACGGUACUGGAGGAGGAAGCCCCGGCUAACUACGUGCCAGCAGCCGCGGUAAUACGUAGGGGGCUAGCGUUA
rnacentral:rRNA from 1 species